rnacentral:rRNA from 1 species
AACGAGACCUUAACCUGCUAAAUAGCCCGUAUUGCUUUGGCAGUUCGCUGGCUUCUUAGAGGGACUAUCGGCUCAAGCCGAUGGAAGUUUGAGGCAAUAACAGGUCUGUGAUGCCCUUAGAUGUUCUGGGCCGCACGCGCGCUACACUGACGGAGCCAGCGAGUUCUCCCUUGACCGGAAGGUCCGGGUAAUCUUGUGAAA